rnacentral:rRNA from 1 species
AGGAAGUAAAAGUCGUAACAAGGUCUCCGUUGGUGAACCAGCGGAGGGAUCAUUACUGAGUUACCGCUCUAUAACCCUUUGUGAACAUACCUACAACUGUUGCUUCGGCGGGUAGGCCGUCCCCUGAAAAGGACGCCUCCCGGCCCGGACCGGACCCCCCGCGGGACCGGACCCGGCGCCCGCCGGAGGAUAACCAAACUCUAUUGUAACGACGUUUCUUCUGAGUGGCAUAAGCAAAAUAAUCAAAACUUUUAACAACGGAUCUCUUGGUUCUGGCAUCGAUGAAGAACGCAGCGAAAUGCGAUAAGUAAUGUGAAUUGCAGAAUUCAGUGAAUCAUCGAAUCUUUGAACGCACAUUGCGCCCGCCAGCAUUCUGGCGGGCAUGCCUGUUCGAGCGUCAUUUCAACCCUCAAGCUCUGCUUGGUGUUGGGGCUCUACGGUCGACGUAGGCCCUCAAAGGUAGUGGCGGACCCUCCCGGAGCCUCCUUUGCGUAGUAACAUUUCGUCUCGCACUGGGAUCCGGAGGGACUCUUGCCGUAAAACCCCCCAAUUUUCCAAAGGUUGACCUCGGAUCAGGUAGGAAUACCCGCU